GCCCGGGUGGCGGAAUGGCAUACGCGGAGGGCUUAAAACCCUCUGGCCGCAAGGCCAUGCGAGUUCGACCCUCGCCCUGGGCACCA
rnacentral:tRNA from 1 species